UACGUAGGGAGCAAGCGUUGUUCGGAUUUACUGGGCGUAAAGGGCGCGUAGGCGGCAAUUCAAGUCAUCUGUGAAAUCUCCGGGCUUAACUCGGAACUGUCAGAUGAUACUGCUUUGCUAGAGUGCAGAAGGGGCAAUCGGAAUUCUUGGUGUAGCGGUGAAAUGCGUAGAUAUCAAGAGGAACACCUGAGGUGAAGACGGGUUGCUGGGCUGACACUGACGCUGAGGCGCGAAAGCUAGGGGAGCGAACCGG
rnacentral:rRNA from 1 species